AGACGGUUUUCACAUAUAUAGUCUGCUAUGGGAAAGCUACUUUGAAAUUAAAAAUAGAUGUGAGAAGGGUAAGAGAUAUUUCUUAGAAGCAGAGAUAAGGAGGUGUGGAGAAUGGCAGGGCCCUGGCCUUAGGCACAGCUCGUCCCCGCCCCCUGUGCCUCUUCACAUUCAUGCAGCAGAUGGGAACUUAGUUCUCUCAUACGUUUUGUUUCCUUUAUAGACAUUCAUUACAUCUCACAUUCAUAGUAAUUAUUACUGGAUUGGACUGUUGUAUGACAAAAAGGAGAAAAAAUGGAAAUGGGUUGAUGAUGGUUUCUCACCUGGAAUGAAUUUUUCAUUUAUGAAUUUCCCUGGGACAGAACAAUGUGGAUUUUUAUCCUCGAUAAGAGUGGACGCUGUUCAUUGUUCCAAAAAUCACAGUUGCAUCUGUGAAAAGAGCAUUGAUUGUAUUCUCCCCACUUCAAGGUGUACUUAGAAGCCCAAUGUGGAAACAGAAUGAACUAUAAAAGCAAGAAACACCAUCUUCUUCCUGAGGACAGAUGCAAAACUUAACCUUGAGAAAGGAAUUGCCCGUUUCUUCACAGCCCCAAGGAAUUAUUCUUUUUUUGUUGUUGUUGUUUAUUUCUCUGAGUCAUCCAUGAAACCAAUUGGACAAUGCUGGUAUAAAGCCUGGAUCUUUUCCACUUCAAUGGGUUCAACAUGCUGCAUCUUCUGACCUUGACAACACAAAUAAGAAUUAGAAUGUGGUUACAUUUUUACUAUUACAAGUAUUCUUCAUCUUUAACAAUUACUUUGCAAUGGAAGUUAAUUUUAAAUUUAUUGAACACUGAAAAGUGUAGUGCAGGGAAUUCCCACACAACUUUUACCCGCGGUUGCCAAUUGUUUUUAUUUUGCCCUAUCUGCUCUAUUCUCUUUCUCUUUCACGUGUCCGUGUUUGGUGAUCCAACUUAUAAUAAAUUGA